AUUGAACGCUGGCGGCAGGCCUAACACAUGCAAGUCGAGCGAGCGGCGGACGGGUGAGUAAUGUCUGGGAAACUGCCCGAUGGAGGGGGAUAACUACUGGAAACGGUGGCUAAUACCGCAUACUAUCAGAUGUGCCCAGAUGGGAUUAGCUAGUAGGUGGGGUAACGGCUAACCUAGGCGACGAUCCCUAGCUGGUCUGAGAGGAUGACCAGCCACCCGGGAACUGAGACACGGCCCAGACUCCUACGGAAGGCAGCAGUGGGGAAUCUUGCACAAUGGGCGAAAGCCUGAUGCAGCAAUGCCGCGUGUGUGAGGAAGGCCUUCGGGUUGUAAAGCACUUUCAGCGGGGAGGCGGUACCCGAAGAGAAAGCACCGGCUAACUACGUGCCAGCAGCCGCGGUAAUUC
rnacentral:rRNA from 1 species